GGAACUUGUUUUGGUGGAACAUUUGCACCGCGCAAAGGCCACAUAUAAUAUUAAACAAAGAUAACUGUUCACACAAAACACAGUAUAUAAACAGCAAUAAAGUAGCUGGACACAUGGUUACGUAAUUUACCAGUGCAUCGCCACGUGUAUUCCAUCCUCAGCGAUCCCACCAAUCGGUCCCAAAAUGUCCCAGAGAGGAAAUCGCAUGAACGUGUGCUUUAGAAAUCUUUACCGUCAUUCACCCAAAGAACCAAGCAGGCCUGCCGUGUUGCACAAUCCAAUUUCUCUUCAAAACUUUCAAUUUCCAGCGUGUAGCUUGCUAGCUCUAUGUUUGUUGUUUUCCCAAAG